AGCUGCGGCCGCGCCCUUACCAGAGCCGGUGCGUCCGCCUAGCCCCGCUCCGCCUGAGGCCGUCAGGGCUCCCGAGGAUGGAGGAUUCCCAGGAGACAUCGCCGUCCUCCAACAACUCCUCGGAGGAGCUCAGCUCUGCUCUGCACCUGUCCAAGGGCAUGUCGAUCUUCCUCGACAUACUGAGGAGAGCAGACAAAAAUGAUGAUGGAAAAUUAUCCUUUGAAGAAUUCAAAGCAUAUUUUGCAGAUGGUGUUCUCAGUGGAGAAGAAUUACACGAGCUCUUCCAUACCAUUGAUACACAUAAUACUAAUAAUCUUGACACAGAAGAGCUCUGUGGUAAGUGUUUCUUUAAGAUCAGUCAAACCCAUUACUUGCUUAAGAAGGAAAAAGAGUAUUGUCUGAUAUAUAUCAACCUUGGAAUUAAUGUUGUAUAUUAGGAGUUCAAAAAAAAAGGAAAAAUUAGUCGGGAUCUCAAGGGAUUUAUCUUUAUCCAUGAAUUUUGCUCAAAGCAUGUAUUUCACUCCAGAAAGAGUUGGGCCUCAUUAGUUUGUUCAUAGAAGAAGAAUUGUUACAAUCAGUACAUUAGUUUCACGAGAGCAAAUUCUCCACAAUUUGAAUAUAUUUUUAAAUUGAUGUUUAAUACAACUUCAUUAUUCUCUGCAU
rnacentral:sRNA from 1 species